UGGAGAAUAGAGUAUGGGUAGUAAGAGUAGUUCUUAAAACCUAAAAUUUUUGGCGGUUUUUUAGCCUGAUUAGAGGAAUCUGUUCUGUGAUGGAUAUUCCACUUUGAGUUUAACUCUGGGAGAAGUGUUUAUAUACCGCCGUCGGAAAGUGAAUUUAUUAGAUUUCAUUGUGUAACUUGAAUUAAAAUGGUUUUAGUUUUGUGAGGAAAGAUGUCAGGUCAAGGUGUAGCUAAAAAAUACUGGAGGGUGAAAUGGAUUACAAUGUUAUAUUAGGGGAAAGAUUGGAUAUUGAUAGGAAAUUGUUAAUUGAAAUUGGAUUUAUGAGUAAUAUUUUAUUAAAAUUGGAGUGUGAAAAUAGUUUUGAAAAAUGU
rnacentral:rRNA from 1 species